AUGCACGGGCGAGCCGACUCUCACUCGGAACGUGCUCUCACCUUGGCCUGGGUUGUCGGCAGAACUCAUCCUGCAGCCUCCAGCCUGGCACUAAGCAGGGCCCGGCCUGAGGGCAACGCAUCCAGGCUCCGCGUGGGUCCCGGGAGAGUCUCAGCGUCCCAGGGUUCACGCCGGCUUUUAAAAAUAACUGACAAAAGAGAACACCUACCAGGAGACAAAGGCGUCCGUCUGCACACUCGGAGCAAGGCUUCCGUCAGCGAGAGAACCGAGGAUGAAGGUUCUCUCCUACCUGCGGCUGGGUUUCUGGUGGGGACACGACGCUACUGCGGGGCGGGUGGGACCGAGCCCGGGCUCUGCAGCCCCCUCUUCCUCCUCUGCACACCUGGGCCUUUCUCUGCCCCGAAGUCCCCAUGGAGAGGGACAGCGCAGAGACCGCGUUCUCCAGUCACCCACAUGCCUGCGUGAUCUGCAAGCGGGGUUCUCGGAACGUGCGGGAGGUCGGAGCAGGUGCCUUUUUGGGCUGGAAGCGUCUGUUAAGGCGCAACUGGAGGGUUAUCACAACGUGAGGUUUUUCCUAAACAGAACAGCUCUGGGCUUGAGCUUCUGGAUGGGGGACGGCCCUUUUCCUUGUCUUUAAGUGACCCCAGAAAAGGCAAGAGCCAAGUGCAGCCUGGGCCUCUGUGGGCCGCCUCCCAUCAGAGAGCAGCACUCCCUCCGCCCCUGCCUCUUCCUCAGAAGUCACCAUCUCUCAAUCGCGCCUCAGCUUCCCCAUUAAAACCUGGAGGCCUGGGGCGCCUGGGUGGCUCAGUGGUUUGGGUCGCUGCCUUUGGCUCCGGUCAUGAUCUCAGGGUCCUGGGAUCAAGCCCCGCAUCGGGCUCUCUGCUCAGCGGGGAGCCUGCUUCCUCCUCUCUCUCUGCCUGCCUCUCUGCCUACUUGUGAUCUCUGUCUGUCAAAUAAAUAAAUAAAAUCUUUAAAAAAAAACAAAAAAACAAACAAAAAAAGACCUAGAGGCCGUUUCCCAGAAGUUCCACGGAGCUGGUGACA
rnacentral:lncRNA from 1 species